UGGUUUUGAUUUGCUUUUAAAUCUUUUUUCGUCUCUCUCAUUGAGUCCAUCAGGUUCAAGAGUUCGUAACUGGUGCAUCCAAAAUCUCUCUCUUUUUUGUCUUCCUUGUGUAUCCCAAUUUUGAUUUUUCUCAAUGAUUUGAAAUGUGACGUUUUCAAAAUCAUGUCCUGCUCUUAAAAGGUGUCUUGUAAUUGGGCAGUUCCUUUCUUUUGUAUAAAAUGACCGAUGGUUAUUUAGUCGGAUGUUAAAUGGUGUUUCUGUUUCACCAACAUAUUGUAAUUUGCAAGUUCCACACGUUAGAACAUAAAUGCAAUUUUGCGUUUUGCAAUUUGAUGUUAUAAAUAUGUUGUAAUUUUUCUUUGUGACUGUGCUGAUGAACUGGGUUUCUAUAUUGGCGACUUUGCAGCACUUACAAUUGCCCCUUCCGCAUGGUUUAUAACCUCCGAUUGUUGAUAUCUCCCGUUUAGAUACUUUGGAUGAUACUAGAAUAUCUUUGAGGUUUUUUGGUCUGCGGUAAGCCAUAACGGGAG
rnacentral:lncRNA from 1 species